GUGGGGAAUUUUGGACAAUGGGCGCAAGCCUGAUCCAGCAAUGCCGCGUGCAGGAAGAAGGCCUUCGGGUUGUAAACUGCUUUUGUACGGAACGAAACGGCUCUGGUUAAUACCCGGGGCUAAUGACGGUACCGUAAGAAUAAGCACCGGCUAACUACGUGCCAGCAGCCGCGGUAAUACGUAGGGUGCAAGCGUUAAUCGGAAUUACUGGGCGUAAAGCGUGCGCAGGCGGUUUUGUAAGACAGGCGUGAAAUCCCCGGGCUCAACCUGGGAAUUGCGCUUGUGACUGCAGUGCUGGAGUACGGCAGAGGGGGAUGGAAUUCCGCGUGUAGCAGUGAAAUGCGUAGAUAUGCGGAGGAACACCGAUGGCGAAGGCAGUCCCCUGGGCCUGUACUGACGCUCAUGCACGAAAGCGUGGGGAGCAAACAGGAUUAGAAACCCCUGUAGUCC
rnacentral:rRNA from 1 species